ACAAGAACAAUAACAAGCAAUGUACAAGACAAUAAAAAUAAGACGAAUCGACUCACGCACAAUAAAAACAACACGGCGGAGGCGCAGCUAACUGAUUCUUUUGGAGAGGCGUUGUAUUUGGGGCUUGCCCCACGACCAGGCCGAGAACAACAAAAACUGCCCUCAAGGCAGAGCCUGAACUGGUUGGAUCCACUGGAUCAUGACAACACAGCAACCAAAGCAAUCCGUUUGCUCUUGACUCCCGAUUGGGAGACGUCACAAGCAAAAAAGACUUGUGACAUAGGGCGAUCAACAAAAACAAAAGCCCGUCACCAUAAUAAAAAAAGAGCACGCAACUACUUCUGGGGGAGCUUUAGCUCCCCUUGUAGUUUCUGCCAUAAAGCUUCUGUUCCACCC
rnacentral:sRNA from 1 species